ACUGUGUGCAAUGUGGUGUGCAAUAGCCAUACAGUUUUUAGUUCUCAUCUUGCCGGUCAGAAGCACGCUGCUAUGGUUAAGAAACAAGCAGAAGCCGAAGUAGCAACUAGAGGCCCUAUUACUGCUUCCUAAAACUCAAAAUUCCGCGUUGAAUUAAGUUUYGGAUUUCUAAUUGCUACUUCGGCUUUUGCUUUUUUCUUGACCAUAGCAGCAUGCUUCUGAUCGGCGAGAUGAGAACUAAUAUCUGUAUGUUUAUUGCACACGUUCACAUUCUGAC
rnacentral:pre_miRNA from 1 species